UCCCAUCUGAUUUGGAUGUGUUUCCUUGGGAAUGACCUCUCCCUGCUCCAGAAGCUCAUAGAAAAUCCCAGCCUAUAAGGGAAAGCUUCUUAAAACCCCAUGACAAGCAAACAUAUUGAUUUUUCCCCUUUUAUUUUCAUGUUGCCAUGGUGUCUCUAUAUUGCAGAGAAUUAGAGAAUCUUGAGAAAAGUCUCAUAGCAUAGUAAGAAUAGAUCUUCAACCUGGGAACAUGCACCCUUAAGGCACUGACUUGAGGUGGAGAGUCUACAUUUUAUUAAAUUCUCAGAAGGAUUUCUACCUAUGAAAAGCAACCCAGUUUUAUAUUCUGUUCAUUUUUAACCUCUAGAGUAUGGAACCGAAAAUGCUCAUGUGGCCACUAGCUUUCUAGAGUGUAAAAAUCAAACAUUGUGUGAAUCUUCAAAUGAAGAAGAAGACUGCUCUCAUGCUAAGAAGGAGGUUGGAUUAUGUGUCUUGCGACUCAGAAAACAGACAAAGCAAACAGCCUUGAAGAAAUAGAAAAUUAGGAAGACAUGAUGAUCAAUUCCCUUAUUAAAAAAUAAAGUCAGUCUUCCUUUCUCUUUUUCUCUAUGGUA
rnacentral:lncRNA from 9 species